rnacentral:lncRNA from 1 species
AAAACAUGUUCAGCACUUUCUGGUACAAUAUUCUCAAAGAACCAGGAUACAUCUUAUUUCUCAAAAUGAAACAAAAAUGUAUUAGACAUUACCCCUGUGAUUUCAAGCCCACAGUCUGUCACUUUGAAGUAUUUGUAUCCUUUUACAAAAGAAAAGCCAAAUGAAGAUCUCCCUGAAAAAAUAUUUUAAUAGAAUAUGUCUUUAUUUCAGUAUCUUAAACAGUGAAGAUGGAGAAAUAUUCAAUAAUGAAGAGCAUGAAUAUGCAUCCAAAAAAAGGAAAAAGGACCAUUUUAGAAAUGACACAAAUACUCAAAUGGCAUGGCUAUUGCACCUUGGGAGAAGCCUUUAAUCGGUUAGACUUCUCAAGUGCAAUUCAAGAUAUCCGAAGGUUCAAUUAUGUGGUCAAAGUGCUGUUGUAGGAGCAAGGGAUACAAUGAUGAUCAAGGCAGAUGCAGCCGUUACCUUCAGGUCGUGGAGUCCGGAUACAGACUGGAGGCAGGCAGCUGUAAGAUGUGUGACAAAUGCUGCGCUGGAUCAGCCCAUGGUAUUAGGAGAGCAGGUAAGGAAGGGUGGGGACGGGAGCGGACAACCUGGAGGAAGAGGCACCUAAGCAGAGUCCAGAAGGCUGAGGAGGAGUCAGCAGGUGAAAGAGAGGGGAAUCAUGGCAUACCAUCUCAACUGUAGGGCACGGCUAGCUGGCUGACUUAGCUGCUGUAACACCGGAUUUUUGCAAGACUCCCUGAGUAUUUCUCGUGGAUUUGCGAACAAAUCUGAGCAAGAAAACCAUGUAAUUUCUUUUAUGCCCUGCCCAAGAAAGCCACCUGGAGGGGCAAGGGGACCUUAGCAGAAAGAAGCUGGAGGUGGGGGGAGAGCAGGGUG